AUUUUGCUUUUACCGGGUUAAAAUGAUAUGUCAAUGUAUUUUAUAAUAUUCUUAUGUUUUAAUUUUUUAUAGAUCCAUUUAAGUAAAGUACGUUUAUGCUGGAAUAAAGGGUGUUCCCCCUUUUUUU
rnacentral:ribozyme from 14 species